rnacentral:rRNA from 1 species
CCCAGCUUGCUGGGGGAUUAGUGGCGAACGGGUGAGUAACACGUGAGUAACCUGCCCUUGACUCUGGGAUAAGCCUGGGAAACUGGGUCUAAUACCGGAUAUGACUCCUCAUCGCAUGGUGGGGGGUGGAAAGCUUUUGUGGUUUUGGAUGGACUCGCGGCCUAUCAGCUUGUUGGUGGGGUAAUGGCCUACCAAGGCGACGACGGGUAGCCGGCCUGAGAGGGUGACCGGCCACACUGGGACUGAGACACGGCCCAGACUCCUACGGGAGGCAGCAGUGGGGAAUAUUGCACAAUGGGCGCAAGCCUGAUGCAGCGACGCCGCGUGAGGGAUGACGGCCUUCGGGUUGUAAACCUCUUUCAGUAGGGAAGAAGCCGUGAGGUGACGGUACCUGCAGAAGAAGCGCCGGCUAACUACGUGCCAGCAGCCGCGGUAAUACGUAGGGCGCAAGCGUUAUCCGGAAUUAUUGGGCGUAAAGAGCUCGUAGGCGGUUUGUCGCGUCUGCUGUGAAAGACCGGGGCUCAACUCCGGUUCUGCAGUGGGUACGGGCAGACUAGAGUGCAGUAGGGGAGACUGGAAUUCCUGGUGUAGCGGUGAAAUGCGCAGAUAUCAGGAGGAACACCGAUGGCGAAGGCAGGUCUCUGGGCUGUAACUGACGCUGAGGAGCGAAAGCAUGGGGAGCGAACAGGAUUAGAUACCCUGGUAGUCCAUGCCGUAAACGUUGGGCACUAGGUGUGGGGGACAUUCCACGUUUUCCGCGCCGUAGCUAACGCAUUAAGUGCCCCGCCUGGGGAGUACGGCCGCAAGGCUAAAACUCAAAGGAAUUGACGGGGGCCCGCACAAGCGGCGGAGCAUGCGGAUUAAUUCGAUGCAACGCGAAGAACCUUACCAAGGCUUGACAUGAACCGGUAAUACCUGGAAACAGGUGCCCCGCUUGCGG